rnacentral:rRNA from 1 species
AACCUGCGGAAGGAUCAUUUGCACACGUGUAUACACUAACCUGCUAAUGAUAUUGUGGGCGGUGUAAGCUUGCAUUACAAUAAUAUUCCAUGUGUCCUGGGCUGUGUGACUUGUUUUGCAAUCAUGCGUUAUGCAUUGCAUAAACAAGUUUGGUAAACUGAGUGGUGCUGUGUUUGUGUACGAUGAUUAGGUUUUGCAACGAAUGUUUUAGUUCAAUACAUGAUGAAUAAUGCAGGACAAUGCAGUAUGCAUUGUGAAUUGCAGAAUUCCGUGAGCUAACAUAUGUUUGAAUGUUACUUGCGCCUUUGGGAUAUUCUUGAAGGUUUGCUUGGUUCAAUGCCAAGUAUCUUCCAUAUGCAAUACUGCUGUUUAGCAUUGCUGUGAACAAGGAGAGUCAAUGUGUAUUGCAUUGAACAUGGAUGUGUUGCAGCUGCUUUUGCAACCUAAGCAUGGUUGAUUGGGGGCAAACUUGUUUCGUCAUGUGCUGGUUGCUGUUUUGCAAAAUGUGCACAACUGAGACAAGCUGAAGACUUGCAUAUGCUUAGCAUGAAGUGAAGCACAUACACCUGCUGAGUUUAAGCAUAUAAGUAAGUGGUGGAAAUUAAACCAAAUGGGAUAUCUUUAGUAAUUGCGAAUGAACAAGGAUAUGCUUAGCUUGACAAAUGGAGCUAUUGGCUUUGAACUGUAUUGUGGAAAUGUAUUACCAACAGAGGUGCAGGUGCCAGCCUAUUGAAAUAAAGCGUCAAUGAGGGUGAGAAUCCUGUUUGUCAUGUGCAGCCCUUUGUGCACGGUGUAUAUUUGCUGAGUCACACUCCUUGGCAUUGGAAUGCAAAGUGGGUGGUAAGUUUCAUGUAAAGGUAAACAUGCAGUUGAGACUGAUAGCACACAAGUACCAUGAGGGAAAUAUGAAAAGGACUUUGAAAAGAGAAUUAAAUGAGUUUGUAUUUGCUGAACACAAAGUAAACAGACUUGAUUUGCUUGGUGGGAGUGUUGCACUUGCUUGACAAGAGCUUUGGGCUGUGGGUGUAAUGAUUCUUUCUUUGCAUGCCAGUUUCUAUUUGUACAUCUGAUUACCUUUGCACAUGAAUGAUAAGUCUCCUGUGGGGGGUGGAUUGCAUGUGCAUGUAAUGAUUUGUGUUUUGAUAAAUGUGUAUGGUGUAUGUGUUUGUGUUCAUGUGAUUGGGGAUGCUUCCUUCCUUGGACUUACAAGCCCUGACACACACAUGCUGGCAAAAUGAUUAUGCUUGACCCGUCUUGAAACACGGACCAAGGAGUCUAACAUAUGUGCAAAGUUUUGAAGGUGGUAUACCUGUGUGUGCAAUGAUAGUGUCAGCUGGGAUAUGUGCACCAGCACCCAUUUAAUGAGCGGACUGAGGUUUGAGUUGGAGCAUAUCUAUUAGGACC